rnacentral:tRNA from 1 species
GCGCCGGUGGUGUAAGGCGUAGUAUUGCUGCCCGGAAGGCAGAAGCUGCGGGUUCGAGUCCCACCUGGCGCA